rnacentral:rRNA from 1 species
AGAGUUUGAUCAUGGCUCAGGAUGAACGCUGGCGGCGUGCCUAAUACAUGCAAGUCGAGCGAACGGAUAAGGAGCUUGCUCCUUUGAAGUUAGCGGCGGACGGGUGAGUAACACGUGGGUAACCUACCUAUAAGACUGGAAUAACUUCGGGAAACCGGUGCUAAUACCGAAUAGUUUGCGGCCUCUCCUGAGGCUGCACGGAAAGACGGUUUCGGCUGUCACUGCAGGAUGGACCCGCGCCGUAUUAGCUAGUUGGUAAGGUAACGGCUUACCAAGGCAACGAUACGUAGCCGACCUGAGAGGGUGAUCGGCCACACUGGAACUGAGACACGGUCCAAACUCCUACGGGAGGCAGCAGUGGGGAAUCUUCCGCAAUGGACGAAAGUCUGACGGAGCAACGCCGCGUGAGUGAUGACGGCCUUCGGGUUGUAAAGCUCUGUUAAUCGGACGAAAGGCCUUCUUGCGAACAGUUAGAAGGAUUGACGGUACCGGAAUAGAAAGCCACGGCUAACUACGUGCCAGCAGCCGCGGUAAUACGUAGGUGGCAAGCGUUGUCCGGAUUUAUUGGGCGUAAAGCGAGCGCAGGCGGUUUUUUAAGUCUGAUGUGAAAGCCCUCGGCUUAACCGAGGAAGUGCAUCGGAAACUGGGAAACUUGAGUGCAGAAGAGGACAGUGGAACUCCAUGUGUAGCGGUGAAAUGCGUAGAUAUAUGGAGGAACACCAGUGGCGAAGGCGACGAUCUGGCCUGUAACUGACGCUCAGUCCCGAAAGCGUGGGGAGCAAAUAGGAUUAGAUACCCUAGUAGUCCACGCCGUAAACGAUGAGUACUAAGUGUUGGAAGUCAAAUUUCAGUGCUGCAGUUAACGCAAUAAGUACCCCGCCUGGGGAGUACGACCGCAAGGUUGAAACUCAAAGGAAUUGACGGGGGCCCGCACAAGCGGUGGAGCAUGUGGUUUAAUUCGAAGCAACGCGAAGAACCUUACCAGGUCUUGACAUACUCAUAAAUGUUCCAGAGAUGGAAAGAUAGCUAUAUGAGAUACAGGUGGUGCAUGGUUGUCGUCAGCUCGUGUUGGGAGAUGUUGGGUUAAGUCCCGCAACGAGCGCAACCCUUAUCGUUAGUUACCAUCAUUAAGUUGGGGACUCUAGCGAGACUGCCAGUGACAAGCUGGAGGAAGGCGGGGAUGACGUCAAAUCAUCAUGCCCCUUAUGACCUGGGCUACACACGUGCUACAAUGGAUGGUGCAGAGGGAAGCGAAGCCGCGAGGUGAAGCAAAACCCAUAAAACCAUUCUCAGUUCGGAUUGUAGUCUGCAACUCGACUACAUGAAGUUGGAAUCGCUAGUAAUCGCGAAUCAGCAUGUCGCGGUGAAUACGUUCUCGGGCCUUGUACACACCGCCCGUCACACCACGAGAGUUGAUAACACCCGAAGCCGGUGGCCUAACCGCAAGGAAGGAGCUGUCUAAGGUGGGAUUGAUGAUUGGGGUGAAGUCGUAACAAGGUAACCA